AUUGAACGCUGGCGGCAGGCCUAACACAUGCAAGUCGAGCGGAGCGGCGGACGGGUAAGUAAUGCCUAGGAAUCUGCCUGGUAGUGGGGGAUAACGUCCGGCAACGGGCGCUGAUACCGCAUACUAUCAGAUUAGCCUAGGUCGGAUUAGCUAGUUGGGGGGGUAAAGGCCUACCAGGGCGACGAGCCGUAACUGGUCCGAGAGGAGGAUCAGUCACAUGGGAACUGAGACACGGUCCAGACUCCUACGGGGGGAAGCAGUGGGGAAGAUUGGACAACGGGCGAAAGCCUGAUCCAGCCAUGCCGCGUGGGUGAAGAAGGUCUUCGGAUUGUAAAGCACGUUAAGUUGGGAGGCGUUACCAACAUAAUAAGCAACGGCUAACUUCGUGCCAGCAGCCGCGGUAAUAC
rnacentral:rRNA from 1 species